AUGUGUAAAUAGCAUGUGAUAGCAAGGGCUGGGCAAGACCGGUGCCAGCCGCCGCGGUAACACCGGCAGCCCGAGUGGUGAUCACUAUUAUUGGGUCUAAAGGGUCCGUAGCCGGUUUAAUCAGUCUUCUGGGAAAUCUAAUCGCUUAACUAUUAGGCUUCCAGGGGAUACUGUUAGACUUGGGACCGGGAGAGGUAAGAGGUACUGCAGGGGUAGGAGUGAAAUCUUGUAAUCCCUGUGAGACCACCAGUGGCGAAGGCGUCUUACCAGAACGGGUCCGACGGUGAGGGACGAAAGCUGGGGGCACGAACCGGAUUAGAUACCCGGGUAGUCCCAGCUGUAAACGAUGCUCGUUAGGUGUCAGGAACGGUGCGACUGUUUCUGGUGCCGAAGGGAAGCCGUGAAACGAGCCACCUGGGAAGUACGGCCGCAAGGCUGCAACUUAAAGGAAUUGGCGGGGGAGCACUACAACGGGUGGAGCCUGCGGUUUAAUUGGACUCAACGCCGGAAAACUCACCGGGGGCGACAGCAAUAUGUAGGUCAGGUUAAAGGUCUUACCUGAAUCGCUGAGAGGAGGUGCAUGGCCGUCGUCAGUUCGUACUGUGAAGCAUCCUGUUAAGUCAGGCAACGAGCAAGACCCGUGCCCACUGUUACCAGCAUAUCCUUUAUGGAUGAUGGGGACUCUGUGGGGACCGCUGCUGCUAAAGCAGAGGAAGGUGCGGGCUACGGUAGGUCAGUAUGCCCCGAAUCUCCCGGGCUACACGCGGGCUACAAUGGUUGGGACAAUGGGUAUCUACUCCGAAAGGAGUUGGCAAUCUCUUAAACCCAAUCGUAGUUCGAAUUGAGGGCUGUAACUCGCCCUCAUGAAGCUGGAAUCCGUAGUAAUCGCGUUUCAACAUAGCGCGGUG
rnacentral:rRNA from 1 species